UACAGAGGGUGCGAGCGUUAAUCGGAAUUACUGGGCGUAAAGCGAACGUAGGCGGCUUGGUAUGUCGGGUGUGAAAUCCCCGGGCUCAACCGGGGAACUGCAUCCGAAACUGCCUUGCUAGAGUAUGGGAGAGGGAAGUGGAAUUUCCGGUGUAGCGGUGAAAUGCGUAGAUAUCGGAAGGAACAUCAGUGGCGAAGGCGACUUCCUGGACCAAUACUGACGCUCAGGUGCGAAAGCGUGGGGAGCAAACAGG
rnacentral:rRNA from 1 species